UACGUAGGGGGCAAGCGUUGUCCGGAAUCAUUGGGCGUAAAGAGCGUGUAGGCGGCCCGGUAAGUCCGCUGUGAAAUCGCCCGGCUCAACUGGGCGGGGUCAGCGGAUACGGCCGAGCUUGAGCAAGCUAGGGGGCAAUGGAAUUCCCGGUGUAGUGGUGGAAUGCGUAGAUAUCGGGAGGAACACCAGUGGCGAAGGCGGUUGCCUGGGGCUUUGCUGACGCUGAUGCGCGAAAGCGUGGGGAGCGAUCCGG
rnacentral:rRNA from 1 species